CCAGCGAUUAGGUCGGGAACUCAAAGGAGACUGCCAGUGAUAAACUGGAGGAAGGUGGGGAUGACGUCAAGUCAUCAUGGCCCUUACGACCAGGGCUACACACGUGCUACAAUGGCGCAUACAAAGAGAAGCGACCUCGCGAGAGCAAGCGGACCUCAUAAAGUGCGUCGUAGUCCGGAUUGGAGUCUGCAACUCGACUCCAUGAAGUCGGAAUCGCUAGUAAUCGUGGAUCAGAAUGCCACGGUGAAUACGUUCCCGGGCCUUGUACACACCGCCCGUCACACCAUGGGAGUGGGUUGCAAAAGAAGUAGGUAGCUUAACCUUCGGGAGGGCGCUUACCACUUUGUGAUUCAUGACUGGGGUGAAGUCGUAACAAGGUAACCGUAGGGGAACCUGCGGUUGGAUCACCUCCUUACCUUAAAGAA
rnacentral:rRNA from 3 species